CCUACGGGAGGCAGCAGUGGGGAAUAUUGGACAAUGGCGGGAACCCUGAUCCAGCGAAGCCGCGUGAGUGAAGAAGUAUUUCGGUAUGUAAAGCUCUAUCAGCAGGGAAGAAAAUGGCGGUACCUGACUAAGAAGCCCCGGCUAACUACGUGCCAGCAGCCGCGGUAAUACGUAGGGGGCAAGCGUUAUCCGGAUUUACGGGGUGUAAGGGAGCUUAGACGGGGCGGCAAGUCUGGUGGGAAAGGUCGGGGACCAACCCCGGGACUGCAUUGGAAACUGUGGAACUGGAGUACAGGAGAGGUAAGCGGAAUGCGUGGUGUAGCGGUGAAAUGCGUAGAUAUUAGGAGGAACACCAGUUGCGAAGGCGGCUUACUGGACCGCAACUGACGUUGAUGCUCGAAAGCGUGGGGAGCAAACAGGAUUAGAUACCCUAGUAGUC
rnacentral:rRNA from 1 species